GGGGAAUAUUGGACAAUGGGGGCAACCCUGAUCCAGCGAUGCCGCGUCGAGGAAGAAGGCCUUUGGGUUGUAAACUCGUGUCGUUAGGGAAAAAGGUUAUGCAGUGAAUAGCUGUAUAGCUUGAUGGUACCUAAGGAGGAAGCACCGGCUAACCUCGUGCCAGCAGCCGCGGUAAUACGAGGGGUGCAAGCGUUGUUCGGAAUCACUGGGCGUAAAGUGUGUCUAGGUGGAUUGUUAAGUUCAUUGUGAAAGCCCCAGGCUUAACCUGGGAUGUGCAGUGGAUACUGGCAGUCUUGAGUAAUGGAGAGAUGGGCGGAAUUCCGGGUGUAGCAGUGAAAUGCGUAGAGAUCCGGAGGAACAUCAGAGGCGAAGGCGGCUCAUUGGCCAUUUACUGACACUAAAGCACGAAAGCGUGGGUAGCAAAC
rnacentral:rRNA from 1 species